UACAUGUGGGGCAAGCGUUGUUCGGAAUUACUGGGCAUAAAGGGUGCGUAGGCGGUUUGUUAAGUCACUGGUGAAAGUUUUCGGCCCAACCGGAAAAUUGCCUGUGAUACUGGCGAACUUGAGUGCGUGAGGGGUGGGGGGAACGAGCAGUGUAGCGGUGAAAUGCUUAGAUAUGACAUAGAACACCAAUUGCGAAGGCAGCUGGCUACACAAAUAUUGACACUGAGGCACGAAAGCGUGGGGAUCAAACAGG
rnacentral:rRNA from 1 species